ACCAUAUGCUGUAAAUGUUACUUAUAACAUACAAUAAUUAUAAUUAUUCUUCGAUAGGCAAAGUGCUUGUUGUAUUGUUUCGACUUCAAUUAUGUAAAUAAAUAAGAUUCCAGAAUCAGCAGGAUUCUAAGCAAUCACUGUAAUAUAGGCGUUUAAAGAUGUGUCACAAUCCCCAACGGAGUACAUCAGUCAUGACACAAGACCCACAUGGUCCUGGCAUAAUCGCCUGAUAAUGCAAUAAAGAGCGGUCAUUAAUUCGAGAUCAAUCACGUAAUGGAAAAGUUGCGGUCCAAAUCCAAAAUGUACGCGCGAGCGAAAGUAAUAAAACCCCUUUGUUUGGUUUGUGUGCACUUUCAAGAUAAGAAAUAAAUAAUUCAAAUGGCGCACAGUAGCUGUAAUUCGAGAAAUAUCCUUUUCGGUGUCGUGCUUCGCAAGAGUCAAAAGGAAUAUAACGACUGUCGGGCCGGGAUAUGUCGCAUAAAACGUACUAAAACUCCAUAAUCCAAGCCGUUCUUCUUAAUCCACGUCAGCCGUAUUUAAUAGCGCCGUUUUGGGAUUUAAACGAUUAUCAUUUCUUUGCAUUCGUUAAAUGUUUUUAAUUACACUUCUAGCAGAUUUAUAAAGAGUAUCAUGUACGGAUUACUGUUGAUGAGGGGAUAUCUACAGGAAUUUAAAUUACAUAAAUUAGAUCAGUAGGUAGGUAUAUUUGAUGAAAUUAUUAACACCUGCAAUCGAAAUUAUAGUUAAGACAAAUGGAAAUCUGGUUGAAAAUUAAAGAAGGCUGUAUUGUAAUGAUG